UACGAAGGGGGCUAGCGUUGCUCGGAAUUACUGGGCGUAAAGGGCGCGUAGGCGGGUCGUUAAGUUGGGGGUGAAAGCCCAGGGCUCAACCCUGGAAUUGCCUUCAAUACUGACGACCUUGAGUAUGGCAGAGGUGUGUGGAACUCCGAGUGUAGAGGUGAAAUUCGUAGAUAUUCGGAAGAACACCAGUGGCGAAGGGCGACACACUGGGCCAUUACUGACGCUGAGGCGCGAAAGCUAGGGGAGCAAACGGGG
rnacentral:rRNA from 1 species